rnacentral:rRNA from 1 species
GCGACGCCAGGUCAGGCGGGAUUACCCGCUGAGUU